CAGCAGCCGCGGUAAUACAGAGGAUGCAAGCGUUAUCCGGAAUGAUUGGGCGUAAGCGUCUGUAGGUGGCUUUUCAAGUCCGCCAUCAAAUCCCAAGGCUCAACCCAUAGUCUGCACAGGAAACUGUCGGGCUUGAGAGUGGGAGAGGUGAGUGGAAUUUCCGGUGUAGCGGUGAAAUGCGUAGAUAUCGGAAGGAACACCUGUGGCGAAAGCGGCUCACUGGACCAUUUCUGACGCUGAUGCUCGAAAGCUAGGGUAGCAAACAGGAUUAGAUACCCCCGUAGUCCCUGUCUCUUAUACA
rnacentral:rRNA from 1 species